rnacentral:rRNA from 1 species
UACGUAGGGGGCUAGCGUUGUCCGGAAUCAUUGGGCGUAAAGCGCGCGUAGGCGGCCAGAUAAGUCCGGUGUGAAAGUCACAGGCUCAACCUGUGAAUGCCGCUGGAAACUGUCUGGCUAGAGUACUGGAGAGGGUAGCGGAAUUCAUGGUGUAGCAGUGAAAUGCGUAGAUAUCAUGAGGAACACCAGAGGCGAAGGCGGCUACCUGGACAGUUACUGACGCUCAGGCACGAAAGCGUGGGGAGCAAAAGGG